rnacentral:rRNA from 1 species
UACGUAGGUGGCAAGCGUUGUCCGGAUUUACUGGGCGUAAAGAGCGCGCAGGCGGUCGUUCAAGUCGCGUGUGAAAGCCCCCGGCUCAACUGGGGAGGGUCACGCGAUACUGAUCGACUCGAAGGCAGGAGAGGGUAGUGGAAUUCCCGGUGUAGUGGUGAAAUGCGUAGAUAUCGGGAGGAACACCAGUGGCGAAGGCGGCUCGCUGGGCCAUUCCUGACGCUGAGACGCGAAAGCUAGGGGAGCGAACAGG